UUAACUUUAUUCCAUCUGAAACCAGGACACAAGGGAAAAUAAUAUGAUUUAUGCUUUUACAAGUGCUAUGAGAAUGAGGAAGAUGUUGAACGUUCAAGGAGAGGGAAUGAAAAGAAAGAUGAAUUAGAGGUGGCAAGAGGUGAAGGAAAAGAAAGGACUUUUAUGUCUGUCUUCAAGCAGAAGGCUAUCAAACAAAGCUGCCCAACCUUACACUCAUCCAUCAACCUUGAGUUAUUAAGAGAAUAACUGCAGAACAUUUACAAGUGGAUGGGAUGGAGUGCUGGCUGCUUUUCAAGAACACAGAGUCAGUGCUACAAAAACUUUGCAAGAUGGCAAAUUUUCUCAUGCUGCUAGGACCUGCUAAAAGGAAUGGUUUCUUGAAUUUAGUGUAACUAAUCUAG